GAAAUCCAUUGCAUCACUGUUGAUAAUAGCCGAACUUUAGAAACCACCUAGACAUCCAUCCAGGGAGACUGAUUCCUUAAACAUGAUGGCGGGGCCCGAUGCAAGAGCAAGAGUCCAUGACAGAUACCUGCCCGCUUCCUCAAAGAGUGAAAAACAAUAAGCCUUCCUUGGUAUUUCCAGAGGGGCCCCUCCGAAAACACCCUGCUUGCAAACUCGCAGAAUCCACAGGAAACGCCACACUGUCUUCCAUGGGGGCUGCCCCGUUUUCCCUUCCCACCCUCGCGGCACAAGGUUCCAGUUUCUCCACGUCCUCACCAACCCUGAGAGACAGCCAGCGAGAGAGGGAACACAGCAGGGGAGUGGGAGAGGAAGAAGCAGGCUCC